UUGAAACACUGGUUCCUAUAUGAUCACUGAAGUUAAGCAAUAUCAAGCCUGGUCAGUACCUAGAUAGGUGACUGCUUGGGAAUACCAGGUGUUGUAAG
rnacentral:rRNA from 1 species